rnacentral:rRNA from 1 species
UACCUACGGGGGGCAGCAGUAGGGAAUAUUGCUCAAUGGGGGAAACCCUGAUGCAGCGACGCCGCGUGGGUGAAGAAGCGCCUCGGCGCGUAAAGCCCUGUCAGCAGGGAAGAAAAUGACGGUACCUGAAGAAGAAGCCCCGGCUAACUACGUGCCAGCAGCCGCGGUAAUACGUAGGGGGCAAGCGUUAUCCGGAUUUACUGGGUGUAAAGGGAGCGUAGACGGCGCGGCAAGUCUGAAGUGAAAGGCAGGGGCUUAACCCCUGAACUGCUUUGGAAACUGCCAUGCUAGAGUGCUGGAG